CGUGGCCCCAGGGCAGCAGGGCUGGGAGUCGCCCUCUUGUCAAGAGGCUUCCUGCCCAGAAGGGGUGAUCUGUUGUUAAUGCUCUGAUAGUUCCUGCUCUGGCUGUGGAGCGGGGGCUGGCUGUGCUAGGAGUGACUCAGAACAGGGAGGCCGUUUGCAAAGCACCAGGGUAUGAAGACCGUAAAGAAUUAAACUGGGCCCUGCCCGUGGAAGCUGGAGACAGACUCUGUGGGCCUGAUUCUCCAUUGCCGGGGGUGAAUGGUGACCAAGGUGCACAGCAGUGGAGAAUCGAUCCUUGUGAGUGUUCCCAGCACACCGGGAGUGAGCCAUAUCCAUGUCCUUGCACAGCCACUCUAGCCCUGUCAAACUCCACCCUCCCAGCUGCGCUCGGCAGGUUUUAUGUUUGUUUUAAACGGGAGGAUCACGGAGCUUCAGUUUCUGCAGCAUCACUGAGGACCAGAUUCUGCCCAGCUCUGGGGCAAGGAGCUACCCCCAUCCCUGAACACCUGUGCAGAGGCUGGCCAGCAUCCCACCUAGUGCCCAUGUCAAGCAGUAGCUAUCUGAAAAGAGCUAUGGGGGU